UUCUGUUUUGUUUCGAUGUGAUGGUUCAGUUCUUUUAGAUUGCCGGUGUUUAAUGAAAGUAAAUGAACUAAUUUCAGAUUUGUCUGGCAAGAUGUUUUGAAACGGACGUAAGUUCAUAUCUUUUCUAACUAUCAAAUAUCUGUAACACAAUUCUGGAGUCAAAAUAUACUGUAUUAAUAUACAGACAGAAUCAGGGGAAUGUAUUUACCCAAAGUGCAUAAAAUUAGCAUAUUAAUACAUUUUGUUUGAUAUCCCCUAGUGUGAAGGUUCAGUGUGAAGUGCUUAUCAAUUCUUGACCUUUUUUUAUGUUGAUACAUACUAGAAUAUAAGACAUUCGAGUGCAAUUUCAGUGCUUUAAUAUCAUCAACAAUGUACAACUCUGGUUUUGAAGAUGAGUUGUAUAAAGAUCGUAACAAAUCAUUUCGAAAAGCUGUUCGCGCUCCCAAGAAAAAUCAACGAUCCUUAACCAAUGGAACUGAUCUUUAUAAUCUGGAAGACACCAGCCAGAAUGGAGCGCCGGUUGAGAGUGAUAUUGAAUAUUCGCACAAGGCGCCGGAGAAGACGAAAUACAACUGGAAACGGUUUUUACCAUGGGCUCCAAGGACAAAAGGGUAAGAUUUGUCACUGAAUUUUUCGGAAUACACCAGACUGCAAUGGAAAUUACGUCAUUAUACCAUUGCAUUUAUAUGUCAUUAUCAUCAUAUGCUAUUUAUAUGUUAUUA